UUAAAUUGCAGAUAGGGACUCCUUAUGCUGUAUAUCUGUGGUAUUGAAUUAACGUUUAAGCGACCUGUAAGCUCGCCAGCCACAGAGCCACCGCAAGGUGGUUUUUUUAUGA
rnacentral:sRNA from 12 species